rnacentral:tRNA from 1 species
GGGAAGGUGGCUCAGUGGUAGAGUGCUUGCCUUGCAUGCAUGAGGACCCGGGUUCCAUUCCU